CGGCGAGUGAAGCGGCACAGCUCAAAUUUGAAAUCUGGCCUUCGGCCCGAGUUGUAAUUUGCAGAGGAUGCUUCUGGCGCGGUGCCUUCCGAGUUCCCUGGAACGGGACGCCACAGAGGGUGAGAGCCCCGUAUGGUCGGACACCAAGCCUGUGUGAAGCUCCUUGACGAGUCGAGUAGUUUGGGAAUGCUGCUCUAAAUGGGAGGUAAAUCUCUUCUAAAGCUAAAUACCGGCCAGAGACCGAUAGCGCACAAGUAGAGUGAUCGAAAGAUGAAAAGCACCUUGAAAAGGGGGUUAAAUAGUACGUGAAAUUGUUGAAAGGGAAGCACUUAUGACCAGACUUGGGCCGGGCGGCUCAUCAGGGGUUCUCCCCUGUGCACUCCGCCCGGCACAGGCCAGCAUCGGUUCUCGUGGGGGGAUAAGACCGUCAGGAACGUAGCACCCUCCGGGGUGUGUUAUAGCCUGGCGGACGAUACCCCCGUGGGGACCGAGGUUCCGCGCUCCGCAAGGAUGCUGGCUAAUGGCAUCA
rnacentral:rRNA from 1 species